AUUGAACGCUGGCGGCAGGCCUAACACAUGCAAGUCGAACGAGUGGCGGACGGGUGAGUAAUGUCUGGGAAACUGACUGAUGGAGGGGGAUAACUACUGGAAACGGUAGCUAAUACCGCAUACCAUCAGAUGUGCCCAGAUGGGAUUGGCUAGUAGGUGGGGUAAUGGCUCAACUGGGCGACGAUCCCUAGCUGGUCUGAGAGGAUGACAAGCCAAACGGGAACUGAGCCACGUGCCAGACUCCUACGGGAGGAAGCAGUGGGGAAUAUUGCACAAUGGGCGCAAGCCUGAUGCAGCCAGGCCGCGUGUGUGAAGAAGGCCUUCGGGUUGUAAAGCACUUUCAGCGGGGAGGCGUUACCCGCAGAAGAAGCACCGGCUAACUCCGUGCCAGCCGCCGCGGUAAUAC
rnacentral:rRNA from 1 species